rnacentral:rRNA from 1 species
GAGGCGUGAUGACGAGGCACUACGGUGCUGAAGCAACAAAUGCCCUGCUUCCAGGAAAAGCCUCUAAGCAUCAGGUAACAUCAAAUCGUACCCCAAACCGACACAGGUGGUCAGGUAGAGAAUACCAAGGCGCUUGAGAGAACUCGGGUGAAGGAACUAGGCAAAAUGGUGCCGUAACUUCGGGAGAAGGCACGCUGAUAUGUAGGUGAAGCGACUUGCUCGUGGAGCUGAAAUCAGUCGAAGAUACCAGCUGGCUGCAACUGUUUAUUAAAAACACAGCACUGUGCAAACACGAAAGUGGACGUAUACGGUGUGACGCCUGCCCGGUGCCGGAAGGUUAAUUGAUGGGGUUAGCGCAAGCGAAGCUCUUGAUCGAAGCCCCGGUAAACGGCGGCCGUAACUAUAACGGUCCUAAGGUAGCGAAAUUCCUUGUCGGGUAAGUUCCGACCUGCACGAAUGGCGUAAUGAUGGCCAGGCUGUCUCCACCCGAGACUCAGUGAAAUUGAACUCGCUGUGAAGAUGCAGUGUACCCGCGGCAAGACGGAAAGACCCCGUGAACCUUUACUAUAGCUUGACACUGAACAUUGAGCCUUGAUGUGUAGGAUAGGUGGGAGGCUUUGAAGUGUGGACGCCAGUCUGCAUGGAGCCGACCUUGAAAUACCACCCUUUAAUGUUUGAUGUUCUAACGUUGGCCCGUUAUCCGGGUUGCGGACAGUGUCUGGUGGGUAGUUUGACUGGGGCGGUCUCCUCCUAAAGAGUAACGGAGGAGCACGAAGGUUGGCUAAUCCUGGUCGGACAUCAGGAGGUUAGUGCAAUGGCAUAAGCCAGCUUGACUGCGAGCGUGACGGCGCGAGCAGGUGCGAAAGCAGGUCAUAGUGAUCCGGUGGUUCUGAAUGGAAGGGCCAUCGCUCAACGGAUAAAAGGUACUCCGGGGAUAACAGGCUGAUACCGCCCAAGAGUUCAUAUCGACGGCGGUGUUUGGCACCUCGAUGUCGGCUCAUCACAUCCUGGGGCUGAAGUAGGUCCCAAGGGUAUGGCUGUUCGCCAUUUAAAGUGGUACGCGAGCUGGGUUUAGAACGUCGUGAGACAGUUCGGUCCCUAUCUGCCGUGGGCGCUGGAGAACUGAGGGGGGCUGCUCCUAGUACGAGAGGACCGGAGUGGACGCAUCACUGGUGUUCGGGUUGUCAUGCCAAUGGCACUGCCCGGUAGCUAAAUGCGGAAGAGAUAAGUGCUGAAAGCAUCUAAGCACGAAACUUGCCCCGAGAUGAGUUCUCCCUGACUCCCUGAGAGUCCUGAAGGAACGUUGAAGACGACGACGUUGAUAGGCCGGGUGUGUAAGCGCAGCGAUGCGUUGAGCUAACCGGUACUAAUGAACCGUGAGG